CCUACCCGUAGAAGCGUUGCAGAUGUGGCUGUAUGUCAUAUGUACAACAGUAGGUGACAGAGGGAAGAGAGGCUAUAUCUAUGCUCAGUGUUCUGACCUGUGGCCAUCUGAAUGAUUAGUAGCCUAACAAC